UUAAAGUUGAAUCGCACAGUUUCAGUUUGAGGUGAACUUACGAUUUUACUGUUUCGACGGGAAAAUGAAGGUAAAUCAGGAAGAUAUGCAGGAAUUUGUGAAAUCUCUGGCAGUUAAGUCUUUCGAGGCAGAUCCACAAGUCUUUUCUCCAUCUAAAUCCAAAACUUCACCGCGUUCUUCAUGUUCGUACGACUCUUCUCCUUUCAAUCACAAGUUUAAGAAAACGUCUCCUAGCAGGAAUUCGCGAGCACGGGCUCCUUAGUCGUUACUGUCAUCUCAGGACAUCUCAUUUUAUGGAGAUUUAUCAGAAGACGGACAAUCGACUACGACCAACAACAUUCUUGUUGACAGAUGGUUCUGAGAAAAAUUGGGAGGGAUGAGGUGAACAUUGAUGAUCCUGAUCUUGGCCUAAACCCUUUGGUGAUCAUAAUUCUAAAUGAGUUCUCUAUGCCUUCUUUGGCUUGCGGUUGCUUUACAUUGCAUGGAGGUCAUCAGAUUCCAAAUCAGCGCAAAAGAAAGAAAUGGAGGAGGAGGAUGAGGAUCUCAGAUAAAUGGAACUAAAAAAUAGGACAUUCUCUUUCUUUUACUAGAAAGGAAGGAAAGCACUAGGGAUGGCAAUGUAGCGGUUCGGGGCGGAAAAUGCAAUUACCAUCCCCGCCCCGUUUUAAUUUCGGGGAUUUUUUUAAUACCAUCCCCGCCCUGUUAGGUUUGUUUCGGUUUUGAGA